rnacentral:rRNA from 1 species
UACGUAGGGUGCAAGCGUUAAUCGGAAUUACUGGGCGUAAAGCGUGCGCAGGCGGUCCGUUAAGACAGAUGUGAAAGCCCCGGGCUCAACCCGGGAACUGCGUUUGAAACUGGCAGGCUAGAGUUUGGCAGAGGGGGGUGGAAUUCCACGUGUAGCAGUGAAAUGCGUAGAGAUGUGGAGGAACACCGAUGGCGAAGGCAGCCCCCUGGGCCAAAACUGACGCUCAGGCACGAAAGCGUGGGGAGCAAACAGG